rnacentral:snoRNA from 13 species
CUGCAAUGAUGACAAUCUUAGGACACCUUUGGAUUAAUCAUGAAAACAAAUAGUUUUUUAAAUCUGAGCUGC